rnacentral:rRNA from 1 species
UACGUAGGCAGCAAGCGUUGUUCGGAAUUACUGGGCGUAAAGAGUGUGUAGGCGGUGCUCUAAGUCUGUUGUGAAAUCUCCCGGCUUAACCGGGAGGGUGCGGCGGAAACUGGAGUGCUUGAGGGUGGGAGAGGUAAGCGGAAAUUCCUGGUGUAGCGGUGAAAUGCGUAGAUAUCAGGAGGAACACCUGUGGUGUAGACAGCUUACUGGACCACUUCUGACGCUGAGACACGAAAGCGUGGGUAGCAAACAGG